CAAAGAUGAAUUCUUUAGAUGACGAGUCUGAGCUAUGAUGGUCAGAGUUUCUCUGGCCUGACGGUUCUGACGAUACAAUCUUUAAUUUACCAUUCAUGCUUUUCUGAAC
rnacentral:ncRNA from 19 species